AGGACGAACGCUGGCGGCGUGCUUAACACAUGCAAGUCGAGCGAGGCCCCACCUUCGGGUGGGUGUCCUAGCGGCGAACGGGUGAGUAACACGUGGGCAACCUGCCCCUAGCACUGGGAUAACUCCGGGAAACCGGGCUAAUACCGGAUACGACUUCGGAAGGCAUCUUCUGAAGUGGAAAGGGUUACUGGCUAGGGAUGGGCCCGCGGCCUAUCAGCUUGUUGGUGGGUAACGUCUACCAAGGCUCCGACGGGU
rnacentral:rRNA from 1 species